UACGGGGGGGCAAGCGUUGUUCGGAAUUACUGGGCGUAAAGGGCGCGUAGGCGGCCUGCUAAGUCGGAUGUGAAAUCCCUCGGCUCAACCGAGGAACUGCAUCCGAUACUAGCCGGGCUUGAAUCCGGGAGAGGGAUGUGGAAUUCCAGGUGUAGCGGUGAAAUGCGUAGAUAUCAGGAGGAACACCCGUGGUGCAGACGGCUUGCCUGGACCUCCACGACGCUGAGGCACGAAAGCGUGGGGGAGCAAACAGG
rnacentral:rRNA from 1 species